ensembl:lncRNA
UUGCUUUCCCCUUCAUAUGGAUGUAGUCUAACCCAAACAUGGAUUUUUGGAAGAAGGCAACCAAAUUUAGUGCCCAACUUCACAUAAGAGGGGAUCGAAACAGGCGACCUAACAGAGUACAAUCUCAUGACAAUUUUCUGAGAGGCUUUCAACAACAUUCAUGGGUCAAAGAUGCAGGACAGUGUGGGGACAGAGCACAUGCCACCACACAUUUUAUUGACCUGGUGACUCGAAAGGAUCCUGACCAGAAGGUCAGAUGCAUUCCCGUCUAAGGCAUAUGUGCAACCAUUCAUUCAAAUUUCUUUUAAUAGGUGUAGCUAACUGGUUUUAGUCAAAUCAUUACUACAUUUAAAGAUUGUCAUUUUUAGCCAAUAAAACAAAUGAUAUUGUUUAGCCUAAAACAGAAAAAGUCAAACAAUUGAGAAAGGAAAUGUCCAUAGUUAUGAGAGUCCAGUAUUUAACAUGGCCAGACAGUCCUUGUUGGGGGGAUAAAAGGGGUUAGAAAGUAAGUGUGUGUGUGUGUGUGUGUG